rnacentral:snRNA from 1 species
CAAUGUAGGCAAGGGAAG